GAUGAACGCUGGCGGCGUGCCUAACACAUGCAAGUCGAACGAAGCGCCUUUUGAGAUUCUUCGGAUGAUUGAUCGGUGACUGAGUGGCGGACGGGUGAGUAACGCGUGGGUAACCUGCCCUGUACAGGGGGAUAACAGUUGGAAACGGCUGCUAAUACCGCAUAAGCGCACGAGAGGACAUCCUCUUAUGUGAAAAACUCCGGUGGUACAGGAUGGGCCCGCGUCUGAUUAGCUGGUUUGCAGGGUAACGGCCUACCAAGGCGACGAUCAGUAGCCGGUCUGAGAGGAUGAACGGCCACAUUGGAACUGAGACGCGGUCCAAGCUCCUACGGGAGGCAGCAGUGGGGAAUAUUGCACAAUGGGGGAAACCUGGAUGCAGCAACGCCGCGUGAGUGAAGAAGUAUUUCGGUAUGUAAAGCUCUAUCAGCAGGGAAGAUAAUGACGGUACCUGACUAAGAAGCUCCGGCUAAAUACGUGCCAGCCGCCGCCGUAA
rnacentral:rRNA from 1 species